AAAGUCGUAACAAGGUCUCCGUUGGUGAACCAGCGGAGGGAUCAUUACUGAGUUAUUACAACUCCAAACCCAUGUGAAUUUACUAUAUGUUGCCUCGGCGGGAAGACCUACCCGGGAGCUACCCUGUAUCGCAGGUUGCCCCGCCGGCGGACUACAAAACUCUUGUUUUUACGUGGCACUUCUGAGUACACUAUUAAAAUAAGUCAAAACUUUCAACAACGGAUCUCUUGGUUCUG
rnacentral:misc_RNA from 1 species